rnacentral:rRNA from 1 species
GAUGAACGCUGGCGGCGUGCUUAACACAUGCAAGUCGAACGGGACUUGUUAAGUUGAAACUUCGGUCGAUUCUUUUCAAGUCUAGUGGCGGACGGGUGAGUAACGCGUGGGUAACCUGCCUCACACUGGAGGAUAACAGUCAGAAAUGACUGCUAAUACCGCAUAAGCGCACAGCAUCGCAUGAUGCAGUGUGAAAAACUCCGGUGGUAUGAGAUGGACCCGCGUCUGAUUAGCUAGUUGGUGAGGUAACGGCCCACCAAGGCGACGAUCGGUAGCCGGACUGAGAGGUUGAACGGCCACAUUGGGACUGAGACACGGCCCAG